rnacentral:lncRNA from 1 species
CGGAGCUGGGCUGCUGGUACAGGAAUGAGGACGGCGGGAGGGACCAGAGCUGCCCCGGGUAGAGCCGCCUCGUGACUCCUUCCUGAUCAGAUCCACCGGCUUCCCAGACCUGGAGCGAGGUAACUGCCCGGAAAUCACCAGGGAGCAGGAGACAGCAGGUGCGGGUUCCCUUCCAACCCUCCACCAGCCCUCUGCCCGCGGGGUUGUCCUCCCGCCGCCGGCCAUACGAGGAGAGGGAGCAGCCCUUCUCCCUGGACACGGAGCUCGCACCGAGAUGACGCUGCAGAGAGAAACCGCCGGAACCCGGCCUGUCUGCUUGUCACUUUCCCCGUGGAGUCCCCUCUCACGAUUUGCUGCUCCUCGAGCCCCUUUCCGCUGUCUGCUCACUCCUCUGCUGUUUACCGCCUUCUACGGAAACGGCAUAUAAGCCCCUGAGUGGGGAACUGCUUCUCUGGGUUUUUACUUAUUUUCUGUGAAGCCCCUAUGCCCACA